UUACCAGCUCUUGACAUGCCUAUGAAUGUUAGUGGAGACACUUCCAGCCUUUCGGGGCGUAGGACACAGGUGCUGCAUGGCUGUCGUCAGCUCGUGUCGUGAGAUGUUGGGUUAAGUCCCGCAACGAGCGCAACCCUCGCCUUUAGUUGCCAUCAUUUAGUUGGGCACUCUAAAGGGACUGCCAGUGAUAAGCUGGAGGAAGGUGGGGAUGACGUCAAGUCCUCAUGGCCCUUACGGGCUGGGCUACACACGUGCUACAAUGGUGGUGACAGUGGGCAGCGAGAUCGCGAGGUCGAACUAAUCUCCAAAAACCAUCUCAGUUCGGAUUGCACUCUGCAACUCGAGUGCAUGAAGUUGGAAUCGCUAGUAAUCGCGGAUCAGAAUGCCGCGGUGAAUACGUUCCCGGGCCUUGUACACACCGCCCGUCACACCAUGGGAGUUGGUUUUACCCGAAGGCGCUGUGCUAACCGCAAGGAGGCAGGCGACCACGGUAGGGUCAGCGACUGGGGUG
rnacentral:rRNA from 1 species